GACGAACGCUGGCGGCGUGCUUAACACAUGCAAGUCGAGCGAGGCCCACCUUUCGGGGUGGUGUCCUAGCGGCGAACGGGUGAGUAACACGUGGGCAACCUGCCCCCGGCUCGGGGAUAACCCCAAGAAAUUGGGGCUAAUACCGGAUACGACCGCUGACCGCAUGGUCUGGUGGUGGAAAGAUUUAUCGGCUGGGGAUGGGCCCGCGGCCUAUCAGCUUGGUGGUGGGGUAGUGGCCUACCAAGGCGACGACGGGUAGCCGGCCUGAGAGGGUGACCGGCCACACUGGGACUGAGACACGGCCCAGACUCCUACGGGAGGCAGCAGUGGGGAAUAUUGCGCAAUGGGCGGAAGCCUGACGCAGCGACGCCGCGUGGGGGAUGACGGCCUUCGGGUUGUAAACCUCUUUCAGCAGGGACGAAGCCGCGAGGUGACGGUACCUGCAGAAGAAGCACCGGCCAACUCCGUGCCAGCCGCCGCUGUAACAC
rnacentral:rRNA from 1 species